rnacentral:rRNA from 1 species
CCUACGGGAGGCAGCAGUCGAGAAUCAUUCACAAUGGGGGAAACCCUGAUGGUGCGACGCCGCGUGGGGGAAUGAAGGUCUUCGGAUUGUAAACCCCUGUCAUGUGGGAGCAAAUUAAAAAGAUAGUACCACAAGAGGAAGAGCCGGCUAACUCUGUUCCAGCAGCCGCGGUAAUACAGAGGUCUCAAGCGUUGUUCGGACUCACUGGGCGUAAAGCGUGCGGAGGCUGUUUCGUAAGUCAUGUGUGAAAGGCGCGGGCUCAACCCGCGGACGGCACAUGAUACUGGGAGACUAGAGUAAUGGAGGGGGAACCGGAAUGCUCGGUGUAGCAGUGAAAUGCGGAGAUAUCGAGAGGAACACUCGUGGCGAAGGCGGGUUCCUGGACAUUAACUGACGCUGAGGCACGAAGGCCAGGGGAGCGAAAGGGAUUAGAUACCCGAGUAGUC